rnacentral:rRNA from 1 species
UACGAAGGGGGCUAGCGUUGCUCGGAAUUACUGGGCGUAAAGGAGCUCGUAGGUGGUUUGUCGCGGUUGUUCGUGAAAACCGGGGGCUUAACCCUCGGCGUGCGGGCGAUACGGGCAGACUGGAGUACGUGCAGGGGAGACUGGAAUUCCUGGGUGUAGCGGUGGAAUGCGCAGACUAGUCAGGAGGAACACCGGUGGCGAAGGCGGGU